GACGUUAGCGACAGAAGAAGCACCGGCUAACUCCGUGCCAGCAGCCGCGGUAAUACGGAGGGUGCGAGCGUUAAUCGGAAUUACUGGGCGUAAAGCGCAUGCAGGUGGUUUGUUAAGUCAGAUGUGAAAGACCCGGGGCGUCAACCUCGGAAUAGCAUUUGUAAACUAGGCAGACUAGAGUACUGUAGAGGGGGGUAGGAAUUUCAGGUGUAGCGGUGAAAUGCGUAGAGAUCUGAAGGAAUACCGGUGGCGAAGGCGGCCCCCUGGACAGAUACUGACACUCAGAUGCGAAAGCGUGGGGAGCAAACAGGAUUAGAUACCCUGGUAG
rnacentral:rRNA from 1 species